UCUUCAUCUCACCACAGGGAGUCAAGGGAUUUCAACCCAUCCUGGGGACUCAGAUGCUAUCUGGCUCCACUCCUCCCCUGGGCCAGCAGAAGUCUGAGGUAGAGAUGCUGGAAGCCCAGCCUGAGGGUUUCCUUAGAUACUCUCAAGUCUUUGUUGAAGACCUAUGAAUGACACAAGAGAAGCUGGAACUUCACUGGGGACUGUGUUCUCACUGGUCGCUGAGGUCUCUGCAUCCUGCCUGACUUGACCCCAUUUCAUCUUUCCUCUUUCUCACCAUUGCCCAUGACAGCAGCCUUCCAUGAUAUACUCCUCAUAAUGCAGCCUGGAAAUCUUUCUAAAACCCAACUGUGAUCAUUUUUUCUCUCCCUUUAGAUUCAUUUGGUGGUCACACAGAGACCACAGGAGAGAGGAGAAACAGAGACCCACUUUCUGUGGUGAUUAACUUUAUGUGUCAACUUGGUCAUCAUACCCGGAAAGUCAGUCAGCCACCCGUCUAUAGUUAUUUCUGUAAAGGUAUUCUUUAGAUAUAAUUAACAUUUAUAUGAGCAGAUUGCCUUCCACAGUGCGCAUAGACUUCAUCUAAUCAGCUGAAGUCCUUAAGAGGAAAAGACUGAGGUCAACAACCACAUAAUGGAAUAUUGCUGAGCCCUAAAAAGAAAUAACUUGUCAAACCAUGAAAAGACAUCAAGGAAACUUACACACAUAUUUCUAAAAAAAAAAAAAAUAGGUCAAUUUGAAAAGGCUACAUAGUCUAUUGUCUUUGGGAAAAUUAAUACCAUGGAGAUGGUAGAAAUAUAAGUGUUUGCCAGGGUGUUUGGGACUGAGGUGGAUGACUAGGCAGAGUACAGAGGAUUUUUAGGGCAGUGAAUUGACUCCGUAUUAUACUACAAUGGUGGGUACAUGUCAUUAUACACUUAUUUAAAUCCAUAGAUAGUCCGACACUAGGAGUGACUCCUAAGGUAUAGUCUGAGUUAUAACAAUGUGCCCAUAUAUAUUCAUUGAUGGUAACAAAUGGACCACUCUGAUGGGGGGUGUUGAUAAUGGGGAUGCUGUGUAGGUGUGGGAGGAGGGACAUGUGGACAUUCUAUGUUUCUUCUGCUCAAUAUUGCUAUGAAACUAAAACUACUCUUAAAAAAUAAAGUUUUCAGUCAGUAUCUCUAAUCCCAGCAACUCAGAAGUCUGAGGCAGGAGGAUCACAAGUUUGAGGUCAGUCUGGGCAAGUUUGUGAGGCCCUGUCUCAAAGAAUAAAACAAAGGCUUAGGAUGUAGACUGGUGGUAAAGAACCCCUGGAUUUAACACAGUACUGCGAUAAAUCAAUAAAGUCUAAAAAAAAAAAAAAAUUCUGCCUCCCCAUGGGAUUUGGAUUUGUACCACAACAGCAGCUCUUCCCUGGGUCUCCAUUCUGUCAGCCUACUCUGCAGACAUUGUAUUUCUUCACCCUCACAAUCACAUAAACCUGAAAUAAGAGGCUUGGUGGAUCUCAAGCAAUUAAAACAUGGAAAAAGGCAACAUUUAAAAAUUAGCUUCCAAAUAAAUUGAUAUUUCUAUAAUAUGGAUCUUAAAGGUCCCCCCAAAGGCCCAUAUGUUAACAGUUUGGUCCCAGUGCGGUACUAUCGAGAGGUAGUGAGACCUACUGGGAGGUCUUUGGGUCAUUGGGGAUGUGCCCAUAAGGGGGAUAGUGAGACCCCAGCCUGCCCCUCUCUCUUGUGCUUCAGGCCGUGAGGUGAUCAGUUUUGUUCUAUCAUUCAGUUCCUCCAUGAUACGUUGUCUCACCAUGGACCCAAAGCCAUAGGCCCAAGUAAUCAUAGACAAGGAUCUCCCAAAUUGAGCCAAAUUAACCUUUUCUAAAUUGAUUACCCAAGGUAUUUGUUAUAGCAAAGGAAAGCUAAAUAACACAGAUAUUCAUGAAAAUAAAUGAAUCUGUCCUUGCUGGGUUUCAUCCAAAAACCCUCUACAUAAUUAGCACAUGGAUCAAGGUUUAGUAAACCUUUACCACAGAUGUCUUUUUUCUGUUUUAAUAAGCUCAUCUUCCUGAGAAUAGU